CGCUCUGGUAGUGUUGGGGCAGCGAAUGCAGUCGGCUCUGUGCCGCCGCCGCGGCUGCCGCCGCCGCCGACGCGGCCGCGGGGUCCCCUCCUUCCCCGGCGGGUCCCCUGAUAUACCAACCAAAGCCUUGGUGGUGGUGGUGGUGAGGAGUUGUGGACUCCAGAUAAGGAACCCUUGCUCUAUUGGGAGGAAACUGUCUUAGUGUACAUGGAAGAUAUAUGUUUAAAUCCACAAUCUAAUGAUGAAAGCCACAGAAUUAAAACAACAGCAGCAGCAGCAGUAGCAACAACAACAACAACAGCAACAAAAGCAACAGCAACAACAACUACUUGAGUAUUUGGGGAUGUUUUAACAGUUACAUAAAAAUACAACCUGACCCAUCUUUUCUUUGUCCAUCUAAGAAGUCCUACAAACCACAAAUGGUGGGAAAAUUAUUAAUUUGAUGUUCAUUUAAGGGGGGGUGCAUAAAGGCAAUGUAUUUGUGAACACUGCUGGAAGAUUUCUGAUAGGUAUUUUUUGUAGUCUUUUAAGAAGCUUAAAGAGUUAUAGCCCACAAGGAGUCUUAUAAUGAUCAUACUAAGAAAAAAAUUGUGGUCAUUAAUGAUAAAACAUGAUGUUUGAUUGUGUGCAUAUGUGGCUAAUAUUGAAGGAGAUUCUUAAAUUUUGACUGACAGACUCAUUUUUUUUGUAAUUAAUUACAUUCUGGAAUGCAGUGAAAGAAAGGAAACCCAAUAACAUCUAACUCUGUCCUUGUCAAUAAAAAUAUUUUUGCACUAUUUAAAAAUAUUUUCUACAAGGAAUGCAUUUCUUAUUUUGUGUUUCUUCAGGGCUUAUUUUUCUUUAUUUUAUGACCAAAGUGCAUUGCAUUUCCAGGAAUUUGAAAGUAAGACAAACUAAUGCUGGACUGAUACCUUGCUAUCAUCAGAUGAUGUAUUUGCCAAUUCAUUUUCCUAUGUGUUUGUAAUAAUGUUGUUAUCUGCCUCUUCUAACUCCAUACCAGAUACUUUUCUCAGAUAUUAUUGCACUUGAUAAUUCCAUCUAAAUGAAUAUAUG